AGGUGAGGAGAAGCAAAGUCACGUCUCAUAUGACGGCAGGCAAAAGAGCUUGUGCAGGGGAACUCCCACGUAUAAAACCAUCAGAUCUCUUGAG